rnacentral:rRNA from 1 species
UACGUAGGGCGCAAGCGUUGUCCGGAAUUAUUGGGCGUAAAGAGCUCGUAGGCGGUCUGUCACGUCGGCUGUGAAAACCCGAGGCUCAACCUCGGGCCUGCAGCCGAUACGGGCAGACUAGAGUUCGGCAGGGGAGACUGGAAUUCCUGGUGUAGCGGUGAAAUGCGCAGAUAUCAGGAGGAACACCGGUGGCGAAGGCGGGUCUCUGGGCCGAUACUGACGCUGAGGAGCGAAAGCGUGGGGAGCGAACAGG